GACGUUGUGGCAGAGUGGUUAUUGCGUAUGACUAGAAAUCAUAUUCCUUCGGGAGCAGAGGUUCGAAUCCUCUCAACGUCG
rnacentral:tRNA from 2 species